rnacentral:lncRNA from 1 species
CCGCUAACGGAUCCUUCGAAAAAAAGAACAGUGACCUCAGCCCAUUGCAUGAGGCUGGCCUGUGUGUCCUCUGUUGUCUCAGCUCUGCUUCUUUGUUUCUCCCUCCCUCUAAUGCAAUUAGAGUACUCAAAGGAUUCAAUCACCACGGUGACCUAGCUAGGCUAAUUCUCAAUUUAACUUCACAUCCAUUGUGUUGGUGCCUGGCUCCAUGAAAAUGCCUGGCAAACUUUUCAUUGGCCAUCGUCUUGACGUGGUGUUCUAGUAGAACGAAACCAGUAAACUCUUGCAUUUUUUUUCUUUGAUUUUAGUUGAUGGUGUAGUCCAAGAUACGUGUCUGUAGCUGAAGUGGAGGUCUAUUAAAGAAUAGCAUUGUGUUCCUUUAGGCACCAUGAAACUGUAAGUGCAACUGAUCAAACCUGGCCUUCCGAACCCAAACAAAGUUAUUAGUUAAUCUGAGUGUAAUAGAACAGGUGAAAAUUAAGUGCAUGUGGAACAUGAUUUAUAUGAAUGCGGCAAAUAAGG